AAUCAACGCUGGCGGCGUGCCUCAGACAUGCAAGUCGAACGCGAAAGUCCCCUUCGGGGGAUGAUUAGAGUGGCGCACGGGUGAGUAACACGUAGGUAAUCUACCUUCGAGUGGGGAAUAACUCAGGGAAACUUGAGCUAAUACCGCAUAAUGCAGCGGCACCACAUGGUGACAGUUAGUUAAAGCUAUUUAUGCGCUUGAAGAGGAGCCUGCGGCGGUANAGUCUAGUUGGUAAGGUAAUGGCUUACCAAGGCUACGAUCUGUAACCGGCCUGAGAGGGCGGACGGUCACACUGACACUG
rnacentral:rRNA from 1 species